UACGUAGGGGGCGAGCGUACCCGGAUUUACUGGGCGUAAAGCGCGUGUAGGCGGCUGGUCAAGCGUGGUGUGAAAUCUCCGGGCUCAACCCGGAAACUGCAUUGCGAACUGACCUAGCUGGAGUGCAGGAGAGGGCAGCGGAAUUCCCGGUGUAGCGGUGAAAUGCGUAGAUAUCAGGAAGAACACCGGUGGCGAAGGCGGCUCUCUGGGCCUUACCUGACGCUGAGGAGCGAAAGCGUGGGUAGCGAACAGG
rnacentral:rRNA from 1 species